rnacentral:rRNA from 1 species
GGGUGGGGCGGCGCUACCUGCAGUCGAGCGGAACGAUGGUGAAGCUUGCUAUCCAGGCGUCGAGCGGCGGACGGGUGAGUAACACUUAGGAAUCUACCUAGUAGUGGGGGAUAGCUCGGGGAAACUCGUAUUAAUACCGCAUACGACCUACGGGAGAAAGGGGGCAGUUUACUGCUCUCGCUAUUAGAUGAGCCUAAGUCGGAUUAGCUAGAUGGUGGGGUAAAGGCCUACCAUGGCGACGAUCUGUAGCUGGUCUGAGAGGAUGAUCAGCCACACCGGGACUGAGACACGGCCCGGACUCCUACGGGAGGCAGCAGUGGGGAAUAUUGGACAAUGGGGGAAACCCUGAUCCAGCCAUGCCGCGUGUGUGAAGAAGGCCUUUUGGUUGUAAAGCACUUUAAGCAGUGAAGAAGACUCCGUGGUUAAUACCCGCGAACGAUGACAUUAGCUGCAGAAUAAGCACCGGCUAACUCUGUGCCAGCAGCCGCGGUAAUACAGAGGGUGCAAGCGUUAAUCGGAAUUACUGGGCGUAAAGGGAGCGUAGGUGGCUCGAUAAGUCAGAUGUGAAAUCCCCGGGCUUAACCUGGGAACUGCAUCUGAUACUGUUAAGCUAGAGUAUGUGAGAGGAAAGUAGAAUUCCAGGUGUAGCGGUGAAAUGCGUAGAGAUCUGGAGGAAUACCGAUGGCGAAGGCAGCCUCCUGGCAUCAUACUGACACUGAGGCUCGAAAGCGUGGGUAGCAAACAGGAUUAGAUACCCUGGUAGUCCACGCCGUAAACGAUGUCUACUAGUCGUUGGGUCCCUUGAGGACUUAGUGACGCAGCUAACGCAAUAAGUAGACCGCCUGGGGAGUACGGCCGCAAGGUUAAACUCAAAUGAAUUGACGGGGGCCCC